AGUGAAACGAAAAGCUUUUGGUGGCGGUUGUAGUUCACCGCAAAUAAUUUUAAUUUUCAAUUCAAUGGCAGAAAUCGUCGGAAGUAAUUGAAUCUGGUUUCAUAUCGCUUGUUAAACAUUUUUUUGCUCAAAGAUUUAUUUUGAGCUUCUUCAUCUGUGCAUCGAAAAUGUUGGGGCCAUCCGCUCGGAACGUAAAAGAAAAUUAGCUACGAAAUCCGGAGGCAUCAUUUUAGAAGUUGGCCGAGAUAUCUGUUCGGAAUCGGAAGAAGCUGUCAACAGUACUGAAGACCGGAAAAAUUAAAAUAAAGAGAUGGGAUCUGCGCUAUGGCUCAAGGUUUCGAAGGGCCAUCACCGGUGGAUUGCAGGCAAACUUACCAUCAGCGUUUUUAAUAUCAAGACGUCUUCUGUUCUUUAUCGGGAGGUAGAAGCAGAUUUAUAAAAAAAUUAGGAUCGGAAGAUAGCUAAUUGAGCGUCUGAGAACUGGCCGUGGUAAGAAGCACAACCGACACCGUCGCGAUGAUCAUUUACUCCGGGAGCUGAAAACGAAAAGAUUUUGCGACGAAAUUUAUGCUCGUGAAACAUAGAAGGAAUAAUACAGGCAGGUUUAGAAGAUCUAGAAUAUUUGACAUACUUUAUUGUUGCUUUCAAAAUUACAUAUUAUUUUAAGGCAAAAACACAUCUGAUUCCCUUCUGUGAUAUGAUAGCCAUCCAAGACACAAUUCACUGGAGGCGGGUAGCGGCUGAAAACUUGUAUUAAUACUAGUAUGUAAGGUUAAAUUAACUUCACUAUACGGAAAUAUGACCCCGGAAAGAAAAUUCCUAGAAAUCAAAAAGACUUCUCACACCCGGCACAGAUGGAAGCCGUUAUUUCAGGAUAACCAAGAAACGAGCUACAGUUUGCACGUCUAUCAGGGUGCACUAUGCGCCCUGGAUUACGUUUCACAUAAAGAUUUUCUCCUGCACAGUCGUUUAAUUCCUCGGUAGAAGAAACAUUACCGCUGGUUGCUAUACGAGAUGCAUGAGGGAUAACAACCAAGGAAAUUCUAAUGACUGUUAUCCCGUUCUACAUGAGUUGCCGCGAGACGCCGGAUUCUUGCGUCUUGGUUAACUAAUUGGUACGUAUUUGGAAUUCAAUUCUGAUGAACAACUUAUUAGUAUUUUUUUAACUUUU